UGGAGGCGCCGGAUAUUGAUCCCGGUACCUCUCGCGUGAUAGGCGAGCGCCCUACCACCUGAGGUACACCCCC